rnacentral:rRNA from 1 species
GAUGAACGCUGGCGGCGUGCCUAAUACAUGCAAGUCGAGCGAACAGACGAGAGCUUGCUCCUCUGACGUUAGCGGCGGACGGGUGAGUAACACGUGGAUAACCUACCUAUAAGACUGGGAUAACUUCGGGAAACCGGAGCUAAUACCGGAUAAUAUAUUGAACCGCAUGGUUCAAUAGUGAAAGACGGUUUUGCUGUCACUUAUAGAUGGAUCCGCGCCGCAUUAGCUAGUUGGUAAGGUAACGGCUUACCAAGGCAACGAUGCGUAGCCGACCUGAGAGGGUGAUCGGCCACACUGGAACUGAGACACGGUCCAGACUCCUACGGGAGGCAGCAGUAGGGAAUCUUCCGCAAUGGGCGAAAGCCUGACGGAGCAACGCCGCGUGAGUGAUGAAGGUCCUCGGAUCGUAAAACUCUGUUAUUAGGGAAGAACAAAUGUGUAAGUAACUAUGCACGUCUUGACGGUACCUAAUCAGAAAGCCACGGCUAACUACGUG